rnacentral:sRNA from 1 species
UCGCGCCAGCGGUAGGGGCGGAAACCCGGCACUGUCCCUCCCGUCGAGGCCCUCGGUUCGCAAGAACCGGGGGCCUCACUUUUU